rnacentral:tRNA from 1 species
GCUAGCGUACCUUAACUAAAGCAUAACACUGAAAAUGUUAAAAUAAACCUUAAAUUGGUUUCGCAAGCA